CUGUAAGCCUGCGAAGGUGGCCUGUGAGGGUUGCUGGAGGUAUCAGAAGUGCGAAUGCUGACAUAAGUAACGAUAAAGCGGGUGAAAAGCCCGCUCGCCGGAAGACCAAGGGUUCCUGUCCAACGUUAAUCGGGGCAGGGUGAGUCGACCCCUAAGGCGAGGCCGAAAGGCGUAGUCGAUGGGAAACGGGUUAAUAUUCCCGUACUUGGUGUUACUGCGAAGGGGGGACGGAGAAGGCUAUGUUGGCCGGGCGACGGUUGUCCCGGUUUAAGCGUGUAGGUGUGUGUUCCAGGUAAAUCCGGUUCACUUUAACACUGAGGCGUGAUGACGAGGCACUACGGUGCUGAAGCAACAAAUGCCCUGCUUCCAGGAAAAGCCUCUAAGCAUCAGGUAACAUCAAAUCGUACCCCAAACCGACACAGGUGGUCAGGUAGAGAAUACCAAGGCGCUUGAGAGAACUCGGGUGAAGGAACUAGGCAAAAUGGUGCCGUAACUUCGGGAGAAGGCACGCUGACACGUAGGUGAAGUGAUUUACUCAUGGAGCUGAAGUCAGUCGAAGAUACCAGCUGGCUGCAACUGUUUAUUAAAAACACAGCACUGUGCAAACACGAAAGUGGACGUAUACGGUGUGACGCCUGCCCGGUGCCGGAAGGUUAAUUGAUGGGGUCAGCGCAAGCGAAGCUCCUGAUCGAAGCCCCGGUAAACGGCGGCCGUAACUAUAACGGUCCUAAGGUAGCGAAAUUCCUUGUCGGGUAAGUUCCGACCUGCACGAAUGGCGUAAUGAUGGCCAGGCUGUCUCCACCCGAGACUCAGUGAAAUUGAACUCGCUGUGAAGAUGCAGUGUACCCGCGGCAAGACGGAAAGACCCCGUGAACCUUUACUAUAGCUUGACACUGAACAUUGAGCCUUGAUGUGUAGGAUAGGUGGGAGGCUUUGAAGUGUGGACGCCAGUCUGCAUGGAGCCGACCUUGAAAUACCACCCUUUAAUGUUUGAUGUUCUAACGUGGACCCGUGAUCCGGGUUGCGGACAGUGUCUGGUGGGUAGUUUGACUGGGGCGGUCUCCUCCUAAAGAGUAACGGAGGAGCACGAAGGUUGGCUAAUCCUGGUCGGACAUCAGGAGGUUAGUGCAAUGGCAUAAGCCAGCUUGACUGCGAGCGUGACGGCGCGAGCAGGUGCGAAAGCAGGUCAUAGUGAUCCGGUGGUUCUGAAUGGAAGGGCCAUCGCUCAACGGAUAAAAGGUACUCCGGGGAUAACAGGCUGAUACCGCCCAAGAGUUCAUAUCGACGGCGGUGUUUGGCACCUCGAUGUCGGCUCAUCACAUCCUGGGGCUGAAGUAGGUCCCAAGGGUAUGGCUGUUCGCCAUUUAAAGUGGUACGCGAGCUGGGUUUAGAACGUCGUGAGACAGUUCGGUCCCUAUCUGCCGUGGGCGCUGGAGAACUGAGGGGGGCUGCUCCUAGUACGAGAGGACCGGAGUGGACGCAUCACUGGUGUUCGGGUUGUCAUGCCAAUGGCACUGCCCGGUAGCUAAAUGCGGAAGAGAUAAGUGCUGAAAGCAUCUAAGCACGAAACUUGCCCCGAGAUGAGUUCUCCCUGAGACUUUAGGUCUCCUGAAGGAACGUUGAAGACGACGACGUUGAUAGGCCGGGUGUGUAAGCGCAGCGAUGCGUUGAGCUAACCGGUACUAAUGAACCGUGAGGCUUAACCUU
rnacentral:rRNA from 1 species